UGUCCCUGUGCCGCAGCCGAUGCUGCCUCU
rnacentral:piRNA from 1 species